rnacentral:tRNA from 1 species
GCUGGUGUAAGAAACAGUUACUUCGCCUGUCACGCGAGAGGUGUAGGUUCGAGUCCUGCCGCAGCG